rnacentral:rRNA from 1 species
AUGAAUCUCCUUGUUUGGAACUGUCGGGGAUUGGGGUUGGACUCGACAGUUGGAGAACUAAGGGACCUGAUUAGGUCAUACAACCCAGCGGUGGUGUUCUUGAGCGAGACAAAGAAGAAGGCGCGAGCAAUGGACAAUGUUAAACGGAGUUUAGGGUUCCGUAAUGGCAUUGUUGUGGAUUGUGAGGGAAAGAGUGGUGGUUUAGCUCUA